CUUUGAAUGAUUGAGGGUGAGAGAAAUGUGAGGUUGAGAGCGAGAGAGAGAUUUGUUGAGAGUGAGGUUGAGAGAGCGAUUCUGUGAGUGAGGUUGAGAGGGAGGGAGGACGAUGAAUCUCACCAUUUUCUUUUUCGUUUAUUUCUUUUAUUUUUUAAAACAACACAAACAUUAAACCCAUUAAAAAAGCUUAAUAUGUUUAGUCUUCUUUUGUUUUUUUAAUAAGGGAUAU
rnacentral:lncRNA from 1 species